UGAUAAGGAGUUCGAGAGGUGUGAUGUUGAUAAGGAGUACUUAGUACAGCAUACAAGUGGCAUGAGACAAACACAAGGAGAUGAGAGUGACGAUAUGGAGAAUGAGGAUACCAUGAAUACCAUUCGUACUAGGAUAGCUGAUGCUUUGGUUAGUGCGAGGAGGAUAAUUAUGUUGAGGAAUGGCAUCAUUGUAUAAGCCUUUUGAUGGAUAUUGUUCUAUUUAUGUGGACCAAUCACUUUGAUGGAUGAAAAACAUAGAAAUUUA
rnacentral:lncRNA from 1 species